rnacentral:rRNA from 1 species
GACGAACGCUGGCGGCGUGCUUAACACAUGCCAGUCGAACGGAAAGGUCCUGCUUUUGUGGGGUGCUCGAGUGGCGAACGGGUGAGUAACACGUGAGUAACCUGCCCUUGACUUUGGGAUAACUUCAGGAAACUGGGGCUAAUACCGGAUAGGAGCUCCUGCUGCAUGGUGGGGGUUGGAAAGUUUCGGCGGUUGGGGAUGGACUCGCGGCUUAUCAGCUUGUUGGUGGGGUAGUGGCUUACCAAGGCUUUGACGGGUAGCCGGCCUGAGAGGGUGACCGGCCACAUUGGGACUGAGAUACGGCCCAGACUCCUACGGGAGGCAGCAGUGGGGAAUAUUGCACAAUGGGCGGAAGCCUGAUGCAGCAACGCCGCGUGCGGGAUGACGGCCUUCGGGUUGCAAACCGCUUUCGCCUGUGACGAAGCGUGAGUGACGGUAAUGGGUAAAGAAGCACCGGCUAACUACGUG